rnacentral:misc_RNA from 1 species
UUUAGCUUUUUAAUGGUUAUUUUGGUGGCUAUUAUACUCCAACUUGUUUUAUUCUCACCAAUAUCUCCUCAGAUUCUUGAAAUUCCAUCUCCCUCUCCAACCUUUACAUCAAACAGUUAUUUGCAGAGAGUAAGUAAAGUUGGAGAAGGAUUUGUAGAUAGACCAGAAGAUGUUGCAGUGGAUAAAAUGGGAGUUGUGUAUACAGCCACUAGAGAUGGUUGGAUUAAAAGAAUGCACAAAAAUGGGAGUUGGGAGAGCUGGAAAUAUAUUGGGAGAGAUACAUUAUUGGGACUCAAAGUGUCAUCUGCUGGUCAUAUUAUAGUUUGUGAUGCUCAAGAGGGACUGCUUAAGGUUACAGAAGAUGCUGUAACUGUUCUUGCUUCACAUGUCAAUGGUGAAAAAAUAAGAUUAGCAGAUGAUGUGGUGGAAGCAUCAGAUGGGAGUGUAUACUUCAGUGUGGCAAGCACCAAAUUUGGUCUCCACGAAUGGUUCCUUGACGUGCUUGAGGCCAAGCCCCAUGGUCAGCUUCUCAAAUAUAGCCCUUCGCUAAACCAGACAUCUGUAAUUAUUGAUAACUUGGCCUUUGCAAAUGGGGUGGCUCUCUCUGCAGAUCAAGAUUACUUAGUAGUCUGUGAAUCAUGGAAAUAACAUCAAGCUUG